ensembl:lncRNA
AUGACAUACAUCAAUGUUGAUGAGAGACAGGAACACUGCCGGGUGAUCUUGAGCUGCCAAAAUAAUCAGCUCUAUGCACAACAUGGCUUAAAGGAGUUUUCAGUUAGCAGCAUGCAUCCACUAAAGAACUUAGACACUCAUAUUUUUUCUGGGGACUUCCCCACUCUACACUCCUGCCACACAGGCAAGGCGCUUUUGGCCAGUCCUGUGGAAAAACGGAUGUAUCGGAGCGUGGAGAACCUUCACUGGGCAACAGUAGCUGACUCUGGGCUGUAUUCUCACUGCCGGAGCCUGGAUAACGAGAUCAUCUUUCGCUAUAGAGGCACCCGUCAGUGGUCAGAAAGCUGCGUGGAUGUGGCCCCCAGAAGGAGCACAUUGGAGUCUUUGAGAAAUCUUUCUCUCCGUCAUAAACAGACAUCACAGUCAGCACAGAAUGUGCUCCUCCCUCCUUAUGUCAAAGUGCCUCAGUGGCUCUUCCCUUCUGCAGAGGACAAAGCACUGCGCGAGGAUGCCAAAAAAGAGCUGAAGGAGAAGCUGAGGCUGCACAGCAGUAAGGUGGCAGAGCCCAACAAGCCAGUGCGUCCACAGGCAGCCCUGACUGACCUGGCAGCACAGGAGUAUUCUGAAUGCCAGGUGUGCCAGCAGUACAAGAAUGGUUGUGCUGUCAGCUGCUGCACAGUGUUGGUGGAACACACUGCUCUGAGACACAGCCUCACCGGGAGGCAGAGACUCUGUGUCGCACACAGGAUCAUCAGUCCAGAAGACAUCAAGCAGGAGGCUCAGCGGAGGCUUCGACUCCACAGGCAGAAUAGCUCCCCUAGCUUGCCCUUCCAGCAUGCUGAGGAAAGCUAUGAGAUGGAGAAAUCCAGAACAGCAGAAUCGCUGGAACGACUCAGUGGGGAAAUAGAUGUCAGAGAAAGACUGGGGCAGAGCAGGAAAAGCCGCUGUAAAGGGAGGCUGUACAUACCCACCUUUGAGGAAUUCAAGCAAAUGAGAAGUAAGGAGGCAAAUCCUUCUGCUGGCAGCAGAGAGACAACAAAGUGCUUGAGUAAGGGUCUGCUUGGAAACCAGCCCCUGGGUGAGGAGAGCAGUAGGAACAUCUGUCCAGAAGAUUUGGGAACCAAAGCUGUGAAUGAAGCUGCCAUCGCAGCAGAGGAUGAUGAUGUGUUCCAAGAAAACCACACCUCUGCUGGGUUUUCACAAUAUCCAGUCACAUGGGAUGGUUUCAGGAUAAGCAGCCCUGAAGUUAAGGACAGAACUGUCCAGAUCUCCAGCCCGGAUAUAUCCCCGGUCCCCAUUUGCUCUAGCCCUAUUCCACGAUCAUCUUUGCAGGCAGGAGCAAUACGCAAAGCUGGGCAGGAGAUCUUCAGUGGUGAGCAGCAGAAAGGAGAGACAAGACAAUUAAAUGAUGUCCUCCACCUUGCAGGGCAGCCACUGGCUUCUGAAGCCCAGUCCUCUUGCUGUUCAUCGCUGCUGUUAGAAGGCGCAGACUUGUCAAGCUAUGGAGCUAAGCUUCAAAAAAUGAAGGAUGAAUUCAUAGGUUCAGCCCUGGAACUUAUUAAGAAAAGGUAA